rnacentral:rRNA from 1 species
GGGCCCGCACAAGCGGUGGAGCAUGUGGUUUAAUUCGAUGCAACGCGAAGAACCUUACCAGGGUUUGACAUAGUACGAAGUUUUUUGAAAAAAAACCACCUUCGGGAACGUACAUACAGGUGGUGCAUGGCUGUCGUCAGCUCGUGUCGUGAGAUGUUGGGUUAAGUCCCGCAACGAGCGUAACCCUUGUUUUUAGUUGCCUUUCGAGGAUAUUUAGAAAGACUGCCGAUUAUAAAUCGGAGGAAGGUAAGGACGACGUCAAGUCAUCAUGCCCCUUACACUCUGGGCUACACACGUGCUACAUUGGGCGAGACAAUGAGAUGCAAAUCUGUGAAGACUAGCU